rnacentral:miRNA from 1 species
UCUUGCAUGGCCCACUACCCACGGGAGCAUUUCUCUUAGUGACUGGGGAGCCUGCGUUUGUUCCCACAUUGUAAGGAACUGCCUGGUUUUCUCUGAAAUAUGGAGU